rnacentral:rRNA from 1 species
GAUGAACGCUGGCGGCGUGCCUAAUACAUGCAAGUCGAGCGAACGGACGAGAAGCUUGCUUCUCUGAUGUUAGCGGCGGACGGGUGAGUAACACGUGGAUAACCUACCUAUAAGACUGGGAUAACUUCGGGAAACCGGAGCUAAUACCGGAUGAUAUUUUGAACCGCAUGGUUCAAAAGUGAAAGACGGUCUUGCUGCCACUUAUAGAUGGAUCCGCGCUGCAUUAGCUAGUUGGUAAGGUAACGGCUUACCAAGGCAACGAUGCAUAGCCGACCUGAGAGGGUGAUCGGCCACACUGGAACUGGGACACGGUCCAGACUCCGACGGGAGGCAGCAGUAGGGAAUCUUCCGAAAUGGGCGGAAGCCUGACGGAGCAACGCCGCGUGAGUGAUGAGGGUCUGCGGAUCGUAAAACUCUGUUAUUAGGGAAGAACAUAUGUGUAAGUAACUGUGCACAUCGUGACGGUACCUAAUCAGAAAGCCACGGCUAACUACGUG